rnacentral:rRNA from 1 species
UGGGGAAUAUUGCACAAUGGGCGAAAGCCUGAUGCAGCAACGCCGCGUGAGUGAUGAAGGCCUUCGGGUUGUAAAGCUCUGUCUUUUGGGACGAUAAUGACGGUACCAAAGGAGGAAGCCACGGCUAACUACGUGCCAGCAGCCGCGGUAAUACGUAGGUGGCAAGCGUUGUCCGGAUUUUACUGGGCGUAAAGGAUGCGUAGGCGGAUUUUUAAGUGAGAUGUGAAAACCCUAAGCUUAACUUGGGGACUGCAUUUCAUACUGGAAAUCUAGAGUGCGGGAGAGGAGAAUGGAAUUCCUAGUGUAGCGGUGAAAUGCGUAGAGAUUAGGAAGAACACCAGUGGCGAAGGCGAUUCUCUGGACCGUAACUGACGCUGAGGCAUGAAAGCGUGGGUAGCAAACAGGAUUAGAUACCCUGGUAGUCCACGCCGUAAACGAUGAGUACUAGGUGUAGGAGGUAUCGACCCCUUCUGUGCCGCAGUUAACACAAUAAGUACUCCGCCU